CUACGGUGAAUACGUUCCCGGACCGUGUACACACCGCCCGUCAAGCCAUGGAAGCUGGGUGUACCUAAAGUCGGUAACCGUAAGGAGCCGCCUAGGGUAAAACUAGUAACUGGGGCU
rnacentral:rRNA from 1 species